ACGAAGCAAAUGUCAACUGACUCACGGCAGGGACGGUUGGACAUGAAAGAGUGUGCAGUGAUCCCAUCAGCAAACUUUUGUGCCUAAAAUUAUUCAUUCCAGGGGGAAGGAGUGCGUAUGAGAGCACAAGCUGUUUAGGGACCCUCGGCAGAACCGAUGAGUACAGACAGUCAUGACUACCUGUCAUCCAACAGGACAAGAAACUUAAGAAGUCUGUGAGACUGGAAGGAAGAAGUUGAAUGAGAAGCAGAGAGCAGGAGACCAGGAGUAGAGGAUGGAGCGAAGGAGGAAGAAAGAGCGUUUGCUGAAGGGGAGCACAGGUCUGAUCAUCUGGCCCAGGCCUGUGGUUCCUAACGCAUGGGUCUACGUUCACUCUGGUGCAGCACCACAGUUGUGGCCAGAAGAAGCAGUGUGCACAACUUGUUGUUACCUGGCAGACACCUCCAUGAGCUAUCACACAUCCUCUGUACACCGGAUCUACAGAACACUUUUAUCUAAAUCAUCUCGUGUGAAGGUAUGUUAAGGUUCAUCAAGUGUGUGCUAUAGUAGAAUCUACAGCAGUUUUUAGGACUUAUCUACAAAGAAGAAAGAAAAUCCUGCAGUGGCAAUGCAGACAAACUCUGAAUUGAAAGGAUAAAGAAAUACCUUUGGCUUGCCAGCACAAACCCAAACAACAGCAAAAGGUCCUUAACAACCUGAGGAAUCCAGAGAAGUGUUUUAGGAAAUGCCUGAUUAAUGCUUAUAUAAUGACAUUGACAAAAAUUGAUGAGCACAUUCAUACAAAAAGGAUAUGAUUUGAGUCAACAUUCAUAUUUUACUUCCCAUCUCUGGUACAUCAAAUAUCGGAAGGUUUAGGAACAUCGUCUCCCACUGAAGCCAGACAAGACAUCCUUCUCCUACAUAGGUGUCCGAGACCAUGACUAUCCAGUGACACUACAAUGAUCAGCAUUCAGAUGAACUUUAGUCCACGGAACUCAAGAAAUGUCACAGCUUUAGCUUCCCUGUCUGGGUGGCUUAUGAAAUAUCUAAAUUCAGCUGCACAGGGGCAAUUCCCCUUAAAACCUUGGUUCAGCAAAAAAACCAGCAGCAAAGAAUCUUUUACCACAGAUUCCACAACCAACUUACAUUCUACUAAAAUACCUUAUUCAUGUGUAAUUAAAGAUUAAAAAGUUCUUUUAUGAAUCACUUGGACACUUAACAGUUUAUCUGUUUGCAUAACCCCUCAUGUUCUAUGGGAUCCUACUUCCAGUAACUCAUUAUUUGGGAGUGACCUCUCAAAAAAGAUUUUUUUUUGUAGAAAAUCGAACUGAAAAUUGUCUCAAGAUAUUUGGGGAUGAUGACAAUAUAUUUUAUAAAGUUACUCAAAAAAAGGUCUGAUGACAUAAAGAUGCCUUCAGGUUCGCUAAAAACUGUUCAUAAACCGUGUGCUAUGAAAGAAGCCAUAGGUAACCACAGUGAGAAAACUUUCUCUAAUGAUAAUGCUGAAGAAUUAAAGAUUACAUCUGCUGCCCCUCAGAAGAAAGGUCCUACAGACAGCAGUGCACAACAGAGCAACUUCCACAUAUUGUAUGUAACAGUGUGAUCAAGUGGUAGAGGAUGACUGACGAAGGUUCCAGCCCUCUCUUUUUCAAUGAGCCUUUGCACCUCCCGCUUAGCCAUAGAAGACUAUAUUAUUACAAGACACUCCUGUUAUUAUAUUUUACUAUAUUAUUGAUUACAAACAGUUUUCACUUA